CAUCUAACCAUAUUCGAAUUUCACCAUCUCCGUCUAAACUCAUCUAAACUUAUCGACUUCAAAAUUUUCUUCUCUGGUCUAAAGACGGGACCAUACAGAGGCAACUGAUUUCACCAGACACAAUGCAGAUGAUGCAGCUGACUCCAACAGACCUAGCAAGGUUUCAAACAAAGAAACUUAGGGUUUCUUGCUUUCUUCCCCUCCAUCUCCCUCUAAUCUACAUCGUGUUCUCUGCGUUCUCUGAAACCCGUUGAAGCCACCAUAUUCUUUCUCCACUACCUGCUUACCUGAUAUCGAUGUCUCCACCGCUAACUUCCUACAUACAGUCAGUCUUUUUUGCUUCCCUCUCUCUCAUGCUUUCCAUAGAUUUCUCCUUUCUGAUCCUUGAUGUACUGCCGUUCCGACGGGAAGCUGAAUCCGACAUGUGUCGAUUCACUAUCCGGCACUGCAGAAGUCGGCGAUUCUAUUUGUUCUCACCACUGUCCGACAAGGGUUUGUUACCGGCCAUAUUUUUGAUUGUAGGUUCUCAGUUCCGAUCGACACCGCCAAGAAUCGCAGAUCCAAUGCUUCAAUUUUCGUGCGUGUCUCCAGUUAAAGAAGAAGAAGAUAAAAUAAGGGAAUUACCUCUGAGAGCGACUAUGGAUGAUUGGAGAGCGAAUGCUUCAUAAGGCGGGGAAGCCCAAAAUAAGGCGGGGAUAUCAUAAUCGGUCCCACCUGUGGCGAGGAAGCCCAAAAACGAUCUGAUCUGGUGAGAUCCCCAUUCGCACCACCGAAGAAGAAGAUGUCGAAAUAUUCCUAUUCCACCUGACUUUGAACCAAAGAAAAUCGGCAGUUUGAAACAUGUUCUCCCCCAUUCUACAAUCGUCUGACUUGUAGGUUUGAUUCUACGAUCGUCCCUCCUCUGUGUUUCAUUCUGCAAUUUGGGACAACAUUGAAAAAGCAAAGCCCUUGUCAAAGGUGGCCUUCGUUGACCAACAAAAUCGCAAGGCAACAACGUUUUUGGGUUCCGGUGGCGGUUCCGUAUCGGCCAUACCUGACCACUCUUCCUCACCUACAAGACAGAAGUAAGUUUCUCAAUUCUUUCGAAAAAAAAAACAGUUCCCAAUUCUUUCACAUUAUAACCCCUAUGCUUUAAUUUUUACCCAUAAUAGCAACUUACUUGGAGUUUUCUAUUGGUUAUAGAAAAUUUUAACCUUUUUGUUUUCUCUUCAUUAUGUGACAUGAGAUCAAAUGGUCAAUGUUUCUAUGCAAAAGAUUGGAUGUGCAUUUGCUUAUCAAGAAGAGAAAGCGAAGAAGGACUUAGGUCAGUUCUCAAAACCAACUAUAUAGUGGUUAAAGUAAUUUCGCACUUUAUACAUGCUUUGGUGUAACUUGAGAUGACACUCUUCAACCGGUUUAUACUGCCCCUACAUACUAUUUUUAUAGUUUCAAAUUUUUGAUUCUAACAUUUUUGGACCAAACUGCCCCUGCAUACUGUUUCUAUAGUUAAAUAUUUUGAUCUUACGAUUUUUGGACGAAACUGCACAUGCAUAUUGUUUUUAAACUUUAAGAAAAUUGUUUUUAACAGUUUUAGACCAAACUGCCCCUGCAUACUAAUUUUAUAGUUAAUUUUUUUAACAGUUUUGGACGAAAAUGUCCUUGCAUAAUGUUUUUAUACUUAAAAAUAUUUGAAUUUAACAAUUUUGGAUGACACAACUCUUACAUAUCCUUUUUAUAGUUAAUCUUUUUUUUUUAUUUCAACGGUUUUGAACUCAGAUUGAUGUUGAAUAUAUUUAAGUAGUAGAUUGAGUAAAGAGCGAUAUACUUUGGAUUUUGUUUUUAUUCCUUUCCCGAAAAACAAAGUACAUAGUCAUUUUUUGUUUUUCCAUCUUUAGCUGCUAAAUGCAAUAAAUAGCAAUGAGCUUUAAAUUUACACAUUUUUUUCAGGUUUUUUUUUUUGUAAUUUCUUUUAUUUUUUUUUCAAAAACCAAACUACAUUGCUAUUGGGUGCAUUUUCCAUUUUUACGAGUAAAAUGACCCAAAUGGCAAUAUAUUUUCAAUUUAUAUGUAUUUUUUUUUUCAUUUUUACGAGUGAAAUGCCCCAAGUGCAUUAUCAUUUAGGAAAGAAGAACCAUACAUACACCAGCUGUCGGAUUUGAUCUCCGAUUUCACAACUUCACCAUUCUUUAAGUUGUUCGCUGGAAUACCUACAUGAAUCUACGCAUCAAGAAUGAAGCUUUUUUAAGAUGAAUUUGUCACCGCCAUUUUUCGUUGAUUUGUAGUAUCACCAGAAGUUGGCGCUUGAAGAACGGACAACAAAAUUGAAAGUGUUUAUUAACAACAUUAUUCUUUUAGAAUUAAUUAGUGUAUUUGUUAGAUUUUGAUGUUUUUUUUCCCGAUUUGAAAGUUUUUUAGUUUUAUUAUUUAACAAUAAAUGUAAUUCUUAGCAAUUAUUACAUGUAUUGUAUAAGAAUUAAUGUAAUUUUUGUUUUAAUUCUUCAA